GUACAGUUCACUUAAUUCUAACAACAGGAACGAGGGUACUGUGGGCUUCAUUUCAGAGAAGAGGAAACUGGGAUUUGGAGCUGAAGUAACUUGACCAAGAGCAGAUGGCAGGCACCCCUGAGCAUGAAAUAUAAAUUUCCCCCUGAGGAUUUAUGCCUUAUGUUUCUAGAGGGACAUAGAGAAGACAGAUAACUUAAAUACUUGGGUUCUGGAUUGGGGUUAUGUCAAACAUGCCACCGAAGAUUCUUGCACACGUUAUGCUGGUGUACAUAUAUGGAAGUGUCUGUGAGUACACACGUCACGGAGGAACUGCUGUGCCAUAGGGGAUACACACCCUCAACCUUGGCAGAUGAUGCUGAGCUGCCUUCCAGAGCAGCAGUGCUGGUUUGCACUCUCAGAAGCUUUGUAGAGAGUUCCAACUGCUCCACUUUCUCACCCACGCUUGUAAAUUUUGCUGCUGCUGUCUCUUUGGAUUUGGGCCAUUUUUAAGAGGUGUAACACUCACUGUGAAGUUCUGUAGCUCCAUUCUUCAAGUUAGCGAGACCACGAACCUGCCGGAAGGAACCAACUCCGGACAUAGCAGAUCAAGAAGGCAGUCAGAAGUGGGCAAAAAAACUUUUUAUGGUUCACUGAGGACAAUCAACUCCUUCACAAUCUAGAACCCGAAGAUUGGAUCCUCUGAGACAUCAGAGAAAGAUUGCUUUAGCCAUCCUCACUGCAGUAAAACUUCAGGACCUCGAGCCUUGGGUUCAUAAUCUCACAACUGAGAAGGGUCCCUCCACACUGUUGAACUGUACACCCAUUGGAACCCUUAAGGUAAAGCUAACCAGGGAAGUUUCUCCCUAAGAAGAAGAUGGCAUCCUUGAUGCAAAAAGCUUUUCCCAACAUCACAGAUCAAGACUUCUAUUAUCAUGAGACUCUUAUCUUUGAAUACUUUUCCCCUUGCUUAUGCCUGUAUGAACAAUACAAGUGGAAAAGGGGUCUGUUGUGUGCACUCAUGGGGUAUACUUUUAGUUAUGAAGGAUUUUGCAGCCAGCCUUAUACAUGGAUAACCUUAUAUCUUGACAGAUGAAAGAUGAAGGCCCGAUGUAGGUGAGAAACAGAAACUUUAAUGGUACACACUUUGC
rnacentral:lncRNA from 1 species